rnacentral:rRNA from 1 species
UGGGGAAUAUUGGACAAUGGGCGAAAGCCUGAUCCAGCCAUGCCGCGUGUGUGAAGAAGGCCUUCGGAUUGUAAAGCACUUUAAGUUGGGAGGAAGGGCAGUUACCUAAUACGUGAUUGUUUUGACGUUACCGACAGAAUAAGCACCGGCUAACUCUGUGCCAGCAGCCGCGGUAAUACAGAGGGUGCAAGCGUUAAUCGGAAUUACUGGGCGUAAAGCGCGCGUAGGUGGUUAGUUAAGUUGGAUGUGAAAUCCCCGGGCUCAACCUGGGAACUGCAUUCAAAACUGACUGACUAGAGUAUGGUAGAGGGUGGUGGAAUUUCCUGUGUAGCGGUGAAAUGCGUAGAUAUAGGAAGGAACACCAGUGGCGAAGGCGACCACCUGGACUGAUACUGACACUGAGGUGCGAAAGCGUGGGGAGCAAACAGGAUUAGAUACCCCAGUAGUCCCUGAGCGGGCUGGCAAGGCGCAU